AGAAUCAACGCUGGCGGCGUGCCUAACACAUGCAAGUCGCACGAGAAAGGGACUUCGGUCCUGAGUAAAGUGGCGCACGGGUGAGUAACACGUGAAUCAUCUACCCUCGAGUGGGGAAUAACCUAGAGAAAUCUGGGCUAAUACCGCAUAACACUUACGAGUCAAAGCAGCAAUGCGCUUGGGGAGGAGUUCGCGGCCGAUUAGCUAGUUGGCGGGGUAAUGGCCCACCAAGGCGAUGAUCGGUAUCCGGCCUGAGAGGGCGCACGGACACACUGGAACUGAAACACGGUCCAGACUCCUACGGGAGGCAGCAGUGGGGAAUUUUGCGCAAUGGGGGAAACCCUGACGCAGCAACGCCGCGUGGAGGAUGAAGUAUCUUGGUACGUAAACUCCUUUCGAUGGGGAAGAUAAUGACGGUACCCAUAGAAGAAGCCCCGGCUAACUUCGCGCCAGCAGCCGC
rnacentral:rRNA from 1 species